CCUACGGGAGGCAGCAGUGAGGAAUAUUGGACAAUGGGCGCAAGCCUGAUCCAGCCAUGCCGCGUGCAGGAAGACGCAUCUAUGGUGUGUAAACUGCUUUUGUACGGGAAGAAACACUCCUUCGUGAAGGAGCUUGACGGUACCGUAAGAAUAAGGAUCGGCUAACUCCGUGCCAGCAGCCGCGGUAAUACGGAGGAUCCAAGCGUUAUCCGGAAUCAUUGGGUUUAAAGGGUCCGUAGGCGGUUUAAUAAGUCAGUGGUGAAAUCUGGUCGCUCAACGAUCAAACGGCCAUUGAUACUGUUAGACUUGAAUUACUAGGAAGUAACUAGAAUAUGUAGUGUAGCGGUGAAAUGCUUAGAUAUUACAUGGAAUACCAAUUGCGAAGGCAGGUUACUACUAGUGGAUUGACGCUGAUGGACGAAAGCGUGGGGAGCGAACAGGAUUAGAUACCCUGGUAGUCCACGCCGUAAACGAUGGAUACUAGCUGUUGGGCGCAAGUUCAGUGGCUAAGCGAAAGUGAUAAGUAUCCCACCUGGGGAGUACGUUCGCAAGAAUGAAACUCAAAUGAAUUGACGG
rnacentral:rRNA from 1 species